UACGGGGGGGGUAAGCGUUGUUCGGAAUUACUGGGCGUAAAGGGCUCGUAGGCGGCCAACUAAGUCAGACGUGAAAUCCCUCAGCUUAACUGGGGAACUGCGUCUGAUACUGGAUGGCUUGAGGUUGGGAGAGGGAUGCGGAAUUCCAGGUGUAGCGGUGAAAUGCGUAGAUAUCUGGAGGAACACCGGUGGCGAAGGCGGCAUCCUGGACCAAUUCUGACGCUGAGUGAGCGAAAGCCAGGGGAGCAAACGGG
rnacentral:rRNA from 1 species